UACGGAGGGAGCUAGCGUUGUUCGGAAUUACUGGGCGUAAAGCGUACGUAGGCGGCGAUUCAAGUCAGAGGUGAAAGCCCGGGGCUCAACCCCGGAACUGCCUUUGAAACUAGGUUGCUAGAAUCUUGGAGAGGUCAGUGGAAUUCCGAGUGUAGAGGUGAAAUUCGUAGAUAUUCGGAAGAACACCAGUGGCGAAGGCGACUGACUGGACAAGUAUUGACGCUGAGGUGCGAAAGCGUGGGGAGCAAACAGG
rnacentral:rRNA from 1 species